rnacentral:rRNA from 1 species
UACGAAGGGGGCUAGCGUUGCUCGGAAUCACUGGGCGUAAAGCGCACGUAGGCGGAUUGUUAAGUCGGGGGUGAAAUCCUGGAGCUCAACUCCAGAACUGCCUUCGAUACUGGCGAUCUUGAGUCCGGGAGAGGUGAGUGGAACUCCGAGUGUAGAGGUGAAAUUCGUAGAUAUUCGGAAGAACACCAGUGGCGAAGGCGGCUCACUGGCCCGGGUACUGACGCUGAGGUGCGAAAGCGUGGGGAGCAAACAGG